GGCCUUAUGGUCUAGUAGCAUGAUUCUUCCUUUGGGUAAAUCCAAUAUGGAAGAGGUCCUGGGUUCAAUUCCCAGUGAGGCCC